rnacentral:lncRNA from 8 species
CCAUUAAGCCUGAUUAUAGAGAGGAAGAGAGAGAGGGAGAGGAGAGGAAGAGCGAGAGGGAGAGGAGAGGAAGAGAGAGAGGGAGAGGAGAGGAAGAGAGAGAGGGAGAGGAGAGGAGAGGGGGUCUGUGUCAACAUAGUGUGGUAGUGUAGUUAAGCUGUCAUCUCUACUUCACUAGAUCCCUCCUUUCUGUACAACAGCACAGAGAAGACAGAUCAUAGAGGAGUCCGAUCACAGAGGAGGCAGAUCACAGAGGAGACAGAUCACAGGAGGAGACAGAGCACAGGAGGAGACAGAUCACAGGAGGAGACAGAUCACAGGAGGAGACAGAUCACAGGAGGAGACAGAUAAGUGGAGGAGACAGAUCACAGGAGGAGACAGAUCACAGGAGGAGACAGAUCACAGGAGGAGACCGAUCACAGAGAAGACAGAUCACAGGAGGAGACAGAUCACAGAGAAGACAGAUCACAGAGAAGACAGAUCACGGGAGGAGACAGAUCACAGGAGGAGACAGAUCACAGGAGGAGACAGAUCACAGGAGGAGACCGAUCACAGAGAAGACAGAUCACAGGAGGAGACAGAUCACAGGAGGAGACAGAUCACAGAGGAGACAGAUCACAGGAGGAGACAGAUCACAGGAGGAGACCGAUCACAGAGAAGACAGAUCACAGGAGGAGACAGAUCACAGGAGGAGACAGAUCACAGAGGAGACAGAUCACAGGAAGAGACCAGGGAAGUUCUAGAACAGAACUGGAAGUCUAGUUGCUCUGAGAGGUUGAUUCCGUCAGUUCUACUCAGGUCAGAGUUCUGUCUUGACGUUAGUACAGUAGUAGUCAUGGUGCUGUCAGUGGGUGACGGUCUGCAGGAAGCUCUGUAGGAGAGGUGGCAGCAGGGCCAGUCAUCAUGGAGAAGAGGGGUAGCAGUGCUGGAUCCUUCAGAAGAGCCUCCAUCAAGAGGACCACGUCUGGGUCUCAGAAGGUAAGGAUGGUGCUGGUCGUGGCGGUGGUCAGGGAGCAGUGGUGUGAGGCACCCAA